UACGUAGGAGGCAAGCGUUGUCCGGAGUUACUGGGCGUAAAGCGCACGCAGGCGGUCGCAUUAGUCUGGGGUGACAGUUCCCGGCUUAACCGGAAAAGGACUCUGGAAACUGUGCGACUUGAGGGCUUCAGAGGGAUGUGGAAUUCCAGGUGGAGUGGUGAAAUGCGUAGAUAUCGGGAGGAACACCUGUGGCGAAAGCGGCUCACUGGACCAUAACUGACGCUGAUGCACGAAAGCUGGGGGAGCAAACAGG
rnacentral:rRNA from 1 species